rnacentral:rRNA from 1 species
AUUGAACGCUGGCGGCAUGCCUUACACAUGCAAGUCGAACGGUAACAGGUUAAGCUGACGAGUGGCGAACGGGUGAGUAAUAUAUCGGAACGUGCCCAGUCGUGGGGGAUAACGUAGCGAAAGCUACGCUAAUACCGCAUACGAUCUACGGAUGAAAGCGGGGGAUCGCAAGACCUCGCGCGAUUGGAGCGGCCGAUAUCAGAUUAGGUUGUUGGUGAGGUAAAAGCUCACCAAGCCUGCGAUCUGUAGCUGGUCUGAGAGGACGACCAGCCACACUAGAACUGGGACACGGUCACGACUCCUACGGGAGGCAGAAGUGGGGAAUUUUGGACAAUGGACGCAAGUCUGAUCCAGCAAUGCCGCGUGCAGGACGAAGGCCUUCGGGUUGUAAACGGCUUUUGUACGGAACGAAACGGUGAGCUCUAAUACAGUGUGCUAAUGACGGUACCGUAAGAAUAAGCACCGGCUAACUACGUGCCAGCAGCCGCGGUAA